UUGCGGCCGCAUCAUUUGGAAACACCGGUUCCCGUACGAUCACCGAAGUUAAAUAACAUCGAGCCCGUUCAGUAACUAGAUGGGUGACCACUUGGGAAUAUCAGGUGCUGUAAG